GAACCUCAGCAAGGACAAUGCACAGCAGCGACACAGCGCAGGGGAUUCCUCUGCCAGUGUGCAGGAGUCAGGACUCUGGAUCUGGGCUCAACACUGCAAAGUUCCCGUGUUUGGACAGAUGAAGGAGCUGUCCCCGGGGCGCGCGGGGCUCGGCCGUGGGGCGAGCGGGGAACGGACACGCGGACAAACGGCCUCGGUGCUUCAGUUGCAGAGGCAGCAGCGGCGGCGGCGGCAGCAGCGGCGGCAGCAGCGGCAGCAAAAGCAGUUUUUCUCUUCUUUCUCUUUCUCUUCUUUCUCUUCUUUCUCUCCCGCUGUCCUCUCGGUGUCCCUUACCCGCUGUCCCUCCCCUCUCCCCGCCUCCUUCUCCCCCAUGCCGGGCCGGGCCAUGCCCCCGGCCCGCCCCCGGCCCCGGGCGGGGCUGCCCCGUCCCCGUCCCCGCCCGCCCCGCCGCGGUCUCGCCUCCGCCCGGCUCUGGCUGUGCUGGCGGUGGCGCUGCUGGGCGGGCAUCAGUGCCUGGGGCUGGGCCCUUUGGCUCCGCCUGGCCCGAGCCCGGCCCCGGCCCCGGCGCAGGCUCCGGCCCCGGCCCCGGCCCCGGCCCCGGCUCCUCCCGGGCCCCGCGGAGGACACACGCGGCACGGCCGCUGCCGCCUCCGCCGCGGCUUCCCCGGCCCGAGCUCCGCCGCUGCUCAGCAGCGCGGCCGCCGGCCCCGAGCCUCCCGUGUCCCGUUCCCGAGACCGAAGGCCUGGGGAUGGCCGGCCCGAGGCGGUUGAGGGGCGCUCGGGGGCCGCUCCUGGCCCCGGGCCGAGCGCUGACAGCCGCGUCCCGCCCGCAGGGAAGGCGCAGGAGGCGCUGCAGCAGCGGUACCGAGUGGGUUCGCUGCUGGGGCGCGGCGGCUUCGGCAGCGUCUUCGCAGCCACGCGGCUCUCGGACGGUGCCCCGGUGGCCAUCAAAAGGGUGCCACGGAACCGCAUCCGGCACUGGGACGAGCUGCCCGACGGCACCAGCGCACCCCUGGAGAUCGUCCUGCUGGACAAGGUGUCCACUGGCUACCCUGGUGUGGUCCAGCUGCUGGAGUGGCUUGAGCUCCCCAACAACAUCGUGAUGGUGCUGGAGCGGCCGGAGCGGUCUCAGGACCUCCUGCAUUUCAUUCGGGCACGGAGGUUCCUUUCUGAAGAGGUGGCACGGCAGCUGUUCCGCCAGGUGCUGGAGGCCGUGCGGCACUGCACCAGCCGAGGGGUCCUGCACCGCGACAUCAAACCAGAGAACAUCCUGGUUGACCUGGCCACUGGCCAGGCAAAGUUGAUCGACUUUGGCUGUGGCACCUACCUGCAAGACACAGCCUACACUCACUUUGCAGGAACACUGUCAUACAGCCCCCCGGAAUGGACCCACUUGGGCUGGUACUACGGAGAGGCAGCAACGAUCUGGUCCCUGGGCAUCCUGCUGCACCAGAUGGUCUGCGGGCAGCACCCUUUCAGGAGGGGCCGGAAGAUCAGCUGGGACCAUCAGCUCUCGCUGCCACAGCGGCUCUCUCCAGAGUGCCAAGAUCUUAUCAGGUGGUGUUUAUCCAUGCACUUCUUGGACAGACCUUCAUUAGAAGACCUGUUCUGUGAACCUUGGAUACAGGAUAUUCACCUGCCAUAGAAGAAGGGAGAGAGCCACAUGCACACUUUGCUCCAGGGCCCUGGGAAGGAGAAGGAGCCCCUGGAGAAGCUGUACCAGCUGGGGCUGCUGCUGCUGGAGACAGUGAGGAUGACAUCAAGGAUGACAACCUCUUCCUCAACCUGGCCACUGGCAGCUGAAGAUGAUGGACUUCUGGCACUGUCUUCAAAGCCUGGCUCCACAGCGAAUUCGCAGAUGAGUCCACAGCCGGGGAAAUGCUCCCAGAUUUGGGCAUUGCUCAGCCUGGCUGGGAACAAAAGGUUCUCCCUUUGCUGGGGCAGAUGCAACUUCAGUCGCUGCCCAGCUGCUUUUUGGCAGGGCUGGGGGCAUGGGCUGGGGUGGAUACAAGAUGGGAGUUGGCUCCUGGCCCUGCCAACAGCCCCCAGCACCCAGCAUGGCCUGGGCUGGGGCUGGGGCUGGGGCUGGGGCAGCCAGCCCGGCACAGAGAAACCCCCAUGGCGGGAGCAGAGGUGGGACUCCAGAACCUGUGCAGGGGCUGCUUUGCUUUGCAGGCAAGGAAGGGCUUGGGCUGCUCCACUGCCCUUGUUUGCUUUGGGAUCACUGUUAUUUUGGGGGGCAGUGUAGGAGGGAAGAGAGAAAGUGUGGGCUUCUCUCCCCUUUGGGUGGGAUUUUCCCUAGCAUGUAGGGGUUGGGCCUUCCUCAGGCCCUUGACAGAGAUAAAGAGUUUUUUUCUUGUUUCCCUUUGUCUCUAAUCUCUUUUCAACAGUUUGUUGUUUGUUUUUCUAGAGGAAGCGUUCUAUGUAAGGUCCAGUCGGGAUUGGGAAGUGCCUGGGAGCAGCUGCAGCGUGGAUGGGCCGUGCCCUUGGAGAAGGCUGAGGACAUCGUUUGGGACCAGCUUUUCUCCCAGCGGAGGAUGGCGUGAGCCGGGCUCUGCGGGUGCUGAGGCUGCUCUGGGCUCUGCCAGGGCUCUGCUGGGCUCUGCCCCGGGCACAGCUGGGCUGGCUCUGCCCUCACAUUGCUCUGACAGCUUUGCAUCAGACGAGCCCGUUGGAGCACAGUGCCUGAGCUUUCUGCUUUGGCAGGAACGCCUGGAUCUCCACUAUUCAUUCUUCAUUUCUUUUUGGCUGGAAUCGUGCAGUUGCACUUUCUUCCUCCUCUAGACGUGCCACGAGUGGCCAAAGCUGGCAAGUGAGCCGUGUUCCUGAGGCAGUGCAGUCUGGAGCUGAUGGAUGGAGAAUUGCCCUUCCCACUUCCAAACCAGAGCAAAAAGCCAGGUCCUGGCCCUCUUCCAGCCAAAGGGGAAAGGGCCCCACCAAGCCUUGUUACCCACAGACAACAUGAUAAAGCUGAACAAUAAAGGACCUUGGAGCAUUAUACUGUAAUUAAAAAGGUGCCAGCUCCAUGGACAACAGAAUUAUUGUUCCUAACUUGAAUGAGAUUGAGCAAAAAGAAUGAAGAACGGUGUCACUAAAGUACUACUGACGUUUGCCAAAACACUUCCAGAGUUUCACCAAGAGAUCAGUCAUCAAAAUGUUUUGGAAAUUUAAAGACCAAGGUAGCCAAAGCACUCAGUGUCACUAAUUGCUGGGUAUGUUCUCAGCUGAAGUUGGGAGGAAUGGGGUUCCCUUGGAGGGCCCACCCUGUGGGGUGGCCAGAACUCUGUCAAUGGGCUCUGCCUCGUAACGGAGUCAAUGAAGGGACAGUUACAGAAACCUGUGCUGUGGGACACGGGAAUACAAUGAUCCGUGUGACAGGAUUCACUCAGAUUUCCCGUCAGGAGAAACCAAACCCUGUUACAGUUAUAGAGGCUACAGUGUCAGAAGAUUUCUGUGCUUUACCAUCACUCCCAAUGUCAAUAGAACUUGGGGUGCUGCAGCUGGUCAGUGUCAGUGUCUCACCACUCCCAGCUGCAGGGCCCCCAUUUAGGGUCCUUCAGCAACGACCACACUGAAGAGUUAGGGCCCAGAGAACAUUUUCCACCCAAAGAGUGCCUUGGGUUUCAGAAAGUAAAAGAUUCUGGUUCACCCUGUGCCCCAUGUGCGCUGCCCCGUCCCGUGGAGUUUACAUGAAUGAGCUGACGGGAUUAUUAGAAGAGGUAGUAAAUGAUACUGUUAAAAUGUCCAAUAGCACAUUGGAUUAUUAGAAGAGGUAGCAAAUGAUACUGUUAAAAUGUCCAAUAGCACAUCCUAUGAGCUCCAACAAACACAAAUGGGGACUCCAGAGAACCGCAUGGCCUUGGAUUAUCUGCUUGCUGGCCAAGGAGGAACCUGGGCUAUCAGGAGACGGGGAUGUUGCACUGCUAGCAGUGAUGGGUUUGAAGGCCAACAGUCAGGAAUCACCUUGACAGAAAGAGCAGUAGAAGAGUGGCAGAAAGAAGAAAAUUCUUCUUGGUGGGAUUGGCUUCGUGGCUGCCAAAUUAGAGGCUGCUGUGAAAUGCAUUCGUGGCAGUGCCUGUCAUCAUUGCAGUGUGUGCACUUGGUGAGUUGCUGUGACACUUUGUGCUGGGAAGUGGAGUAUUGGGACCUUUCUUAAAAGAGACAGUCUCAAGAAAAGAGAGGCAUUUGAUAAAUAACAGAGAAUAGAAACUAUUAAGGCAUGUUUUAAAAGGAACGUGAAUAGCUCUGAGUAAUGAACUUAAACUGCACUUAAUUGUAGAACAAGAGGAGAUGCCUUUAUGCCUAAUACCUAAAUCUAAGCUGUGUUACUGAAAGAAUUGUUACAAAGGUUGUAGUUGAUUGUAGGUCUCAGGACCGAUCAAAGUACCAAGGCCUGAACAGGUUGUGAUCAAGGCCUGAACAGGCCCUGAGGCAAAGCUCACCUCUAGAUGAACCUCCCAAGCAAAUGUUGUAUUUGUAUCCACUCACUAACGAAGCAUGAUUAACAACAUGAUCAAUGUAUGUGUUCCUUGAUAAAACAUGGAUUUAUAUUUCUGUAUUUAGAAACAGACAAGGCCCCACCUGGCCUUGUUUGGGGGUGAAGGAUCAAAGUCAACUCCCUUGGUUCCUCCUUCAGCCCUGGCCAGGCUUUGGGAGAAAGCAGUCAGGAGAAUGAAAGCAGAUGUUCUCGCAGUGGCAGUGAUGCCAGCUUGUUUGUUUAACAGUGUAAAAGCUGGGUCCUCUCACAGCUUUGGGCUUGGAGCCUCAUUGCUUGCAGAGGUGGAGGCACCUGCAGGAAUUCCCAGUGUCUGGGAGUGGCUCUCCAGUCCUUGGCUUCCCCCAGCUGAUGUGUGGCUGUGGAUGAUGGUAAAGCCUGAGGCUAACUGGUGAUGGAUCUUUCCUUAAUCACUCCAGGCAAUCUCUGGUAGCAAUGACUGGAUGCAUUGCUGAGCUUCUUUUGUAAUGCUUUGCUAAUGAUGAUGUGCUUUGCUGAGCUUAUCCUUUUGUAAUUCUUUGCAGCUGUGCAUGAUAUAAAUGACACAAUUCCUUCA